rnacentral:tRNA from 1 species
CAGGGUAUAGCUCAGUGGCAGAAUGCAUGUUUAGCAUGCAUGAGGUCCUGGGUUCAAUCCCCAGUAUCUUUG